AAAUUAGUAUUUUCUGCUCAUGACUUUAAAUAGCCGCAAACUUAUGUGCUAAGGUAGCAUAAUCACUUGCCUUCCAAUUUAAGGCUAGAAUGAACGGAUUAACGAGUUGAAUUCUUUAUUAUUACGACUCCUUAAAAUUUACAUUUAAGUAAAAAGGCUUAAAUAUAUAGAGAAGACGACAAGACCCCGUCGAACUUUAAUUAAAUUUUUAACUGGGGCGGUAUAAAACCAAUUCUUUUUAACAUUAAAAUAUAAUUACACCCUAUAAAGGAUUAUAAACAAGUUACCGCGGGGAUAACAG
rnacentral:rRNA from 1 species